CAGGCGCGAUAGGUAGUUGCCGGUGAAUUUUUCACGGGAGGAAAGUCCGAGCUACACAGAGACAAGACUCCACCUAACGGGUGGCCGGAGUAAUCCGAGGGCAAGUGCAACAGAGAGAAGACUACCGCUUUGGCGGUAAAAGGUGAAAGGGUGGGGUAAGAGCCCACCAGUGGUUAUGGUAACAUAGCUAGCUAGGUAAACCCUGUCUGUAGCAAGAAGUACAUGGUAAAAGUCUCUAAUUUGGCAGUAAUGCCAAAAUAGUACUUCGCUUGAGCAUUGUAGCGAUACAACGCCUAGAUAAAUAACUACCCACGACAGAACUCGGCUUAUUUCGCGCCUAACUU
rnacentral:RNase_P_RNA from 2 species